UGGGGAAUUUUGGACAAUGGGCGAAAGCCUGAUCCAGCAAUGCCGCGUGUGUGAAGAAGGCCUUCGGGUUGUAAAGCACUUUUGUCCGGAAAGAAAUCCUCUGGGUUAAUACCUCGGGGGGAUGACGGUACCGGAAGAAUAAGCACCGGCUAACUACGUGCCAGCAGCCGCGGUAAUACGUAGGGUGCAAGCGUUAAUCGGAAUUACUGGGCGUAAAGCGUGCGCAGGCGGUUUUGUAAGACGGAUGUGAAAUCCCCGGGCUUAACCUGGGAACUGCAUUCGUGACUGCAAGGCUAGAGUAUGGCAGAGGGGGGUUAGAAUUCCACGUGUAGCAGUGAAAUGCGUAGAGAUGUGGAGGAAUACCGAUGGCGAAGGCAGCCCCCUGGGCCAAUACUGACGCUCAUGCACGAAAGCGUGGGGAGCAAACAGGAUUAGAUACCCUGGUAGUCCACGCCCUAAACGAUGUCAACUAGUUGUUGGGGAUUCAUUUCCUUAGUAACGUAGCUAACGCGUGAAGUUGACCGCCU
rnacentral:rRNA from 1 species